rnacentral:piRNA from 1 species
UACAAUAGUCACAGUGCCUAUGGUGGGUA